rnacentral:rRNA from 1 species
GAUGAACGCUGGCGGCGUGCCUAAUACAUGCAAGUCGAGCGAACAGACGAGGAGCUUGCUCCUUUGACGUUAGCGGCGGACGGGUGAGUAACACGUAGGUAACCUACCUAUAAGACUGGGAUAACUUCGGGAAACCGGAGCUAAUACCGGAUAAUAUUUCGAACCGCAUGGUUCGAUAGUGAAAGAUGGCUUUGCUAUCACUUAUAGAUGGACCUGCGCCGUAUUAGCUAGUUGGUAAGGUAACGGCUUACCAAGGCAACGAUACGUAGCCGACCUGAGAGGGUGAGCGGCCACACUGGAACUGAGACACGGUCCAGACUCCUACGGGAGGCAGCAGUAGGGAAUCUUCCGCAAUGGGCGAAAGCCUGACGGAGCAACGCCGCGUGGGUGAUGAAGGUCUUCGGAUCGUAAAACUCUGUUAGUAGGGAAGAACAAACGUGUAAGUAACUGUGCACGUCUUGACGGUACCUAAUCAGAAAGCCACGGCUAACUACGUG